CAGAAUACCAGAACACAGGAUGGACAUGAAGGCUCCCUCUCAGCUCCUAUGGCUCCUGCUGCUUUGCCUCCCAGGGAUGAGAUGUGACAUCCAGUUGACCCAGUCUCCGUCUACCCAGUCUGCCUCCCUUGGAGACCAAGUCACCAUCACUUGCAAGUCCAGUCAAGGCAUUAGUAAUGAUUUAGCAUGGUAUCAGCAGAAACCAGGGAAAGUUCCUAAACUCCUGAUCUAUGAAGCAAACACUGUGCACUCUGGGGUCUCCUCGAGGUUCAGCGGCAGUGGGUCUGGGACAGAUUUCACUCUCACCAUAAAAAACGUGGAGCCCGAGGACUUUGCAACUUAUUACUGUCAACAGUAUAACAGUUACCCUCCCACAGUGAUACAAGCCAUAGCAUAA